rnacentral:rRNA from 1 species
AUGAGGAAGAAGAAGGCGGCGGCGGCGCCGGCGCCUGUACCCGCGGCUGCCAAGACGAAAUCGGCGGCAGCGGUGCCCGCGGCUGCUAAGAAGAAGCCCCUGGCGGCCAAGAAGAAAGCGGCAGCGGCCGUACCCGCGGCCAAGAAGAAGGCGGCGGCGGCGGCCAAGAAGCGCGCAUCCGGUGGAACGGCCGGGUGCAGGCCACGGAAACGGGCACGGGAUGACAACGGCGACGGCGAUCUCAUCAGCAACCUUCCGGACGCCGUCCUCUGCACCAUCAUCUCCCUCCUCCCCACCAAGGACGGCGCUCGCACGCAGGCCAUCGCCCGCCGAUGGCGCCCCCUCUGGCGCUCCGCGCCUCUCAACCUCGACGCCAAGAACCUCAGCACCAAUGAUUUCAAGCAGCCGCGCCGCCGCCAAGGGCGUCGACCGUCGACGGAAUCCAUCAUCUCCAGGAUCCUCGCCGACCAUCCUGGCCCUGCCCGUCGCUUCGACAUCCGAUUACCCUGCAUCUCCCCAACAAAAAGAGAGUACGCCAAGAGUGUUGCUCAGAUCGCGAGCUGGUUCCAGUCUCGGAGCCUCGACAACCUUGAGGAGCUCCAUAUCCACUUCCCAAUCUUGCGACUAGUAGGUCCGAACCCCCUGCUCUCAUCUGUGCUCCGCUUCACAUCAACUCUUGUCGUGGCCACUGUUGGCUACUGCGAUGUCUCAGAUGAGAUCGCUCCUUCAUUGAAUUUCCCCAUCCUCAAGCAUCUCACUCUGCGUUACGUUAACAUCUCCGUGGGUUCAUUCCAUGGUGUUCUUUCCGCCUGCCAUGUGUUGGAGACCCUAUCUCUGGAUGGAAAUUCUUAUAAUGGCUCCCUCCACAUUAGCUCGCGAACUCUUAGGAGCAUCUGCUUCAGUAAUUGUCAUAUGGGUAAAAGCGAAUUGGUUAUUGAGGACACCCCUCACCUUGAAAGGCUGCUUUGUCCAUGGUUGGACGGCGAGGCUAUCCGGGGGUUGGUUCCAACCAGCUUCAACAAUUUGAUAUGCACAGUGAAGGUUCUGGCUCUCGAGUUUUCUUGCGCUGAUUUGAAUGCGGUUCUUGACGUCCUCAGGUUCUUCCCCUGCUUGGAAAAGCUUUAUGUUAUGUGGAACAAAUACUUAAACACAGAGAUGAACAAUGUGCGUCAUUAUGACCCACAAGAUCCAAUCAAAUGCCUUGAGACCCAUCUCAAAACACUAGUCUUGAAGAAUUACAAAGGCGACAAGCAAGAUGUUAGCUUUGCCAAGUUCUUUGUUCUGAAUGGGAAAGUGCUAAAUGAGAUCAAAUUUGGCGUGAGUGAGAAGUUCAACGAGAAAUGGGUGGCUGAUCAACACAGGCUGCUAGGAGUGGAAAGUGAAGCUUCUCCAGACCUUGAGUUUAAACAUUGUUCAUACUAUUUUCGCCAUUCAGAUACCCAUGACUUGUCAAUUGCCGAUCCCUUCAACAACUCUUUUCUAGCUGAAGAUGAUGCCCUUCCAGUGAUAUCAUGUUCUUCCAGUUCUGACGAGGAUAGCACCUGA